GGUGUGCGGUGAGAUCCAUGGUGCAGUGAGAUGGUGUUUCAAGCCCGCGUUGUCUGGAAUGCUGAAUUAAUGUUCAGAAAUGCUGUUUAAAAUGGAUGUAGGAUUACGCCAAAGGUCACGUUCAACGAGAACUCAUCAAUGAGCAUUGUUAGAAGAGCUGCUAAUCCGAUGCUAGAGUUCACUUUUUCCCAGGCUAGAUUGAAUUUCGUGCAAAUAAGUUUCGCAAGAGAUAUCCUCAAAUCGUUGACAGUUUUUAAAUAAAGAAGAAGAGCAGAGCAGAGAAGAGAAGAGAAGAAAAGAAGAGAUAAGAAAGAAAAGAGAAAAGAAAAGAGAGAAGAGAGGAGAGAGGAGAGAGGAGAGAGAAGAGAGA